UACAGAGGGUGCAAGCGUUGUUCGGAAUUAUUGGGCGUAAAGCGCACGUAGGUGGUCCCUUAAGUCGGAUGUGAAAGCCCUCGGCUCAACUGAGGAAGUGCAUCCGAAACUGAGGGGCUGGAGUAUGGUAGAGGGUCGCGGAAUUCCCGGUGUAGAGGUGAAAUUCGUAGAUAUCUGGAGGAACACCGGUGGCGAAGGCGGCAUCCUGGACCAACACUGACGCUGAGGCACGAAAGUGUGGGGAUCAAACAGG
rnacentral:rRNA from 1 species